rnacentral:rRNA from 1 species
GAGUUUGAUCCUGGCUCAGAAUGAACGCUGGCGGCAGGCCUAACACAUGCAAGUCGAACGAGCCCUUCGGGGUUAGUGGCGGACGGGUGAGUAACGCGUGGGAACAUACCCAAAGGUACGGAAUAGUCUUGGGAAACUGGGGGUAAUACCGUAUGUGCCCUUAUGCUGUAGUGGUGUAAGGGGAAAGAUUUAUCGCCUUUGGAUUGGCCCGCGUUGGAUUAGGUAGUUGGUGGGGUAAUGGCCUACCAAGCCGACGAUCCAUAGCUGGUUUGAGAGGAUGAUCAGCCACACUGGGACUGAGACACGGCCCAGACUCCUACGGGAGGCAGCAGUGGGGAAUCUUAGACAAUGGGCGCAAGCCUGAUCUAGCCAUGCCGCGUGAUCGAUGAAGGCCUUAGGGUUGUAAAGAUCUUUCAGAUGGGAAGAUAAUGACGGUACCAUCAGAAGAAGCCCCGGCUAACUCCGUG